UCGGAUGUAGUGCAUGGUGCACGCCUGCUCGCAGUAGAAGAUUUCGCUGGUCAUGUGGGAAGCCUGGGAUCGAUUCCCGGCGUCCGAA